rnacentral:rRNA from 1 species
CCUACGGGAGGCAGCAGUGAGGAAUAUUGGUCAAUGGCCGGAAGGCUGAACCAGCCAUGCCGCGUGAAGGUCAGUGCCCUAUGGGCGUUAAACUUCUUUUGUGCGGGAGCAAUAAUGGUCACGUGUGGCCAGACGAGAGUACCGUACGAAUAAGCAUCGGCUAACUCCGUGCCAGCAGCCGCGGUAAUACGGGGGAUGCAAGCGUUAUCCGGAUUUAUUGGGUUUAAAGGGUGCGUAGGCUGGGAGGUAAGUCAGCGGUUAAAUGCCCGCGCUCAACGGGGUGAAGUGCCAUUGAUACUGGCUUGCUGGAAUGCGGAUGAGGUGGGAGGAAUGUGUGGUGUAGCGGUGAAAUGCAUAGAUAUCACACAGAACACCGAUUGCGAAGGCAUCUCACGAAUCCGCGAUUGACGCUGAUGCACGAAAGCGUGGGUAUCAAACAGGAUUAGAUACCCUGGUAGUC